rnacentral:rRNA from 1 species
AUAGAGUCAAGUGAAUAAGUGCAUCAGGUGGAUGCCUUGGCGAUGAUAGGCGACGAAGGACGUGUAAGCCUGCGAAAAGCGUGGGGGAGCUGGCAAUAAAGCUAUGAUCCCGCGGUGUCCGAAUGGGGAAACCCACCUCUUAGGAGGUAUCCUUAUCUGAAUACAUAGGAUAAGCGAAGCGAACCCGGAGAACUGAACCAUCUAAGUACCCGGAGGAAAAGAAAUCAACCGAGAUUCCGCAAGUAGUGGCGAGCGAACGCGGAGGAGCCUGUACGUGAUAACUGUCGAGAUAGAAGAACAAGCUGGGAAGCUUGACCAUAGUGGGUGAUAGUCCCGUAUUUGAAAUCUCAAUAGUGGUACUAAGCGUACGAAAAGUAGGGCGGGACACGUGAAAUCCUGUCUGAAUAUGGGGGGACCAUCCUCCAAGGCUAAAUACUCAUCAUCGACCGAUAGUGAACCAGUACCGUGAGGGAAAGGCGAAAAGAACCCCGGGAGGGGAGUGAAAUAGAACCUGAAACCUGAUGCAUACAAACAGUGGGAGCACCCUUGUGGUGUGACUGCGUACCUUUUGUAUAAUGGGUCAACGACUUACAUUCAGUAGCGAGCUUAACCGAAUAGGGGAGGCGUAGGGAAACCGAGUCUUAAUAGGGCGAACAGUUGCUGGGUGUAGACCCGAAACCGAGUGAUCUAUCCAUGGCCAGGUUGAAGGUGCCGUAACAGGUACUGGAGGACCGAACCCACGCAUGUUGCAAAAUGCGGGGAUGAGCUGUGGAUAGGGGUGAAAGGCUAAACAAACUCGGAGAUAGCUGGUUCUCCCCGAAAACUAUUUAGGUAGUGCCUCGAGCAAGACACUGAUGGGGGUAAAGCACUGUUAUGGCUAGGGGGUUAUUGCAACUUACCAACCCAUGGCAAACUAAGAAUACCAUCAAGUGGUUCCUCGGGAGACAGACAGCGGGUGCUAACGUCCGUUGUCAAGAGGGAAACAACCCAGACCGCCAGCUAAGGUCCCAAAUGAUAGAUUAAGUGGUAAACGAAGUGGGAAGGCCCAGACAGCCAGGAUGUUGGCUUAGAAGCAGCCAUCAUUUAAAGAAAGCGUAAUAGCUCACUGGUCGAGUCGUCCUGCGCGGAAGAUGUAACGGGGCUCAAAUCUAUAACCGAAGCUGCGGAUGCCAGUUUACUGGCAUGGUAGGGGAGCGUUCUGUAGGCCGAUGAAGGUGCAUUGUAAAGUGUGCUGGAGGUAUCAGAAGUGCGAAUGUUGACAUGAGUAGCGAUAAAGCGGGUGAAAAGCCCGCUCGCCGAAAGCCCAAGGUUUCCUACGCAACGUUCAUCGGCGUAGGGUGAGUCGGCCCCUAAGGCGAGGCAGAAAUGCGUAGUCGAUGGGAAACAGGUUAAUAUUCCUGUACUUGAUUCAAAUGCGAUGUGGGGACGGAGAAGGUUAGGUUAGCAAGCUGUUGGAAUAGCUUGUUUAAGCCGGUAGGUGGAAGACUUAGGCAAAUCCGGGUCUUCUUAACACCGAGAAGUGAUGACGAGUGUCUACGGACAUGAAGUAACCGAUACCACGCUUCCAGGAAAAGCCACUAAGCUUCAGUUU